rnacentral:rRNA from 1 species
GCUUGCUUCUCUGGAUGAGUUGCGAACGGGUGAGUAACGCGUAGGUAACCUGCCUGGUAGCGGGGGAUAACUAUUGGAAACGAUAGCUAAUACCGCAUAAGAGUAGAUGUUGCAUGACAUUUGCUUAAAAGGUGCAAUUGCAUCACUACCAGAUGGACCUGCGUUGUAUUAGCUAGUUGGUGGGGUAACGGCUCACCAAGGCGACGAUACAUAGCCGACCUGAGAGGGUGAUCGGCCACACUGGGACUGAGACACGGCCCAGACUCCUACGGGAGGCAGCAGUAGGGAAUCUUCGGCAAUGGACGGAAGUCUGACCGAGCAACGCCGCGUGAGUGAAGAAGGUUUUCGGAUCGUAAAGCUCUGUUGUAAGAGAAGAACGAGUGUGAGAGUGGAAAGUUCACACUGUGACGGUAUCUUACCAGAAAGGGACGGCUAACUACGUGCCAGCAGCCGCGGUAAUACGUAGGUCCCGAGCGUUGUCCGGAUUUAUUGGGCGUAAAGCGAGCGCAGGCGGUUAGAUAAGUCUGAAGUUAAAGGCUGUGGCUUAACCAUAGUACGCUUUGGAAACUGUUUAACUUGAGUGCAAGAGGGGAGAGUGGAAUUCCAUGUGUAGCGGUGAAAUGCGUAGAUAUAUGGAGGAACACCGGUGGCGAAAGCGGCUCUCUGGCUUGUAACUGACGCUGAGGCUCGAAAGCGUGGGGAGCAAACAGGAUUAGAUAACCUGGUAGUCCACGCCGUAAACGAUGAGUGCUAGGUGUUAGACCCUUUCCGG